UCUCCGGUUGAGUGGCGGACGGGUGAGUAACACGUGGGUAACCUGCCCGGAAGUGUGGAAUACCUCGGGGAAACUCGAGCUAAUACCGCAUGACAUCUUUGGGACGAGAGUCCUGACGAUCAAAGCGGGGUCGCAAGACCUCGCGCUACCGGAUGGGCCCGCGCCCGAUUAGCUAGUUGGCGAGGUAACGGCUCACCAAGGCAACGAUCGGUAGCCGGCCUGAGAGGGUGAUCGGCCACACCGGAACUGAGACACGGUCCGGACUCCUACGGGAGGCAGCAGUGGGGAAUCUUGCGCAAUGGGCGAAAGCCUGACGCAGCAACGCCGCGUGGAGGAUGAAGGCCCUUGGGUUGUAAACUCCUGUCGGCUGGGAAGAAAUCGUUCGGGGCUAAUACCUCCGGACGUUGACUGUACCAGCAAAGGAAGCCCCGGCUAACUCUGUGCCAGCAGCCGCGGUAAUACAGAGGGGGCCAGCGUUAUUCGGAAUUAUUGGGCGUAAAGGGCGCGUAGGCGGCCACGCGUGUCUUUCGUGAAAUCCCUCGGCUUAACUGAGGACGUGCGG
rnacentral:rRNA from 1 species